rnacentral:rRNA from 1 species
ACUCCUACGGAAGGCAGCAGUGGGGAAUCUUGCGCAAUGGGCGAAAGCCUGACGCAGCGACGCCGCGUGGGUGACGAAGGCCUUCGGGGUUGUAAAGCCCUGUGGGGUAGAACGAACUGGCAUCGGGCUAAUAUCCCGGUGUCUUGACGGUACUGCCUUAGCAAGCAUCGGCUAACUCUGUGCCAGCAGCCGCGGUAAU